CGGACGGGUGAGUAAUGUCUGGGAAACUGCCUGAUGGAGGGGGAUAACUACUGGAAACGGUAGCUAAUACCGCAUAACGUCGCAAGACCAAAGAGGGGGACCUUAGGGCCUCUUGCCAUCGGAUGUGCCCAGAUGGGAUUAGCUAGUAGGUGGGGUAACGGCUCACCUAGGCGACGAUCCCUAGCUGGUCUGAGAGGAUGACCAGCCACACUGGAACUGAGACAGGGUCCAG
rnacentral:rRNA from 1 species